GAUGAACGCUGGCGGCGUGCCUAAUACAUGCAAGUCGAACGCUGGAGAUCUAGCUUGCUAGAUCGAAGGAGUGGCGAACGGGUGAGUAAUACAUAAGCAACCUACCCACGAAGACUGGGAUAAUCUCUGGAAACGGGGACUAAUACCGGAUAGGUAAUCGGAAGGCAUCUUCUGGUUAUUAAAGGUUAAAAACACUGGUGGAUGGGCUUAUGGCGCAUUAGUUAGUUGGUGAGGUAACGGCCCACCAAGACGAUGAUGCGUAGCCGGCCUGAGAGGGUGAACGGCCACAUUGGGACUGAGACACGGCCCAGACUCCUACGGGAGGCAGCAGUAGGGAAUUUUCGGCAAUGGGGGCAACCCUGACCGAGCAACGCCGCGUGAGUGAAGACAGCCUUCGGGUUGUAAAGCUCUGUUGUAAGGGAAGAACGGUAGAUAGAGAAUAUCUAAGUGACGGUACCUUACCAGAAAGCCACGGCUAACUACGUG
rnacentral:rRNA from 1 species